AUGAACGCUAGCUACAGGCUUAACACAUGCAAGUCGAGGGGCAGCAUCAUCAAAGCUUGCUUUGAUGGAUGGCGACCGGCGCACGGGUGAGUAACACGUAUCCAACCUGCCGACAACACUGGGAUAGCCUUUCGAAAGAAAGAUUAAUACCGGAUGGCAUAAUUAUUCCGCAUGGGAUAAUUAUUAAAGAACUUCGGUUGUCGAUGGGGAUGCGUUCCAUUAGGCAGUUGGCGAGGUAACGGCCCACCAAACCUACGAUGGAUAGGGGUUCUGAGAGGAAGGUCCCCCACAUUGGAACUGAGACACGGUCCAAACUCCUACGGGAGGCAGCAGUGAGGAAUAUUGGUCAAUGGACGAGAGUCUGAACCAGCCAAGUAGCGUGAAGGAUGACUGCCCUAUGGGUUGUAAACUUCUUUUAUACGGGAAUAAAGUGAGCCACGUGUGGUUUUUUGUAUGUACCGUAUGAAUAAGGAUCGGCUAACUCCGUGCCAGCAGCCGCGGUAAUACGGAGGAUCCGAGCGUUAUCCGGAUUUAUUGGGUUUAAAGGGAGCGUAGGCGGGUUGUUAAGUCAGUUGUGAAAGUUUGCGGCUCAACCGUAAAAUUGCAGUUGAUACUGGCGACCUUGAGUGCAACAGAGGUAGGCGGAAUUCGUGGUGUAGCGGUGAAAUGCUUAGAUAUCACGAAUAACUCCGAUUGCGAAGGCAGCUUACUUGGAUUUGUAACUGACGCUGAUGCUCGAAAGUGUGGGUAUCAAACCAGGUUUAGAUUCCCUGGUAGUCCAACACAGUAAACGAUGAAUACUCGCGGUUGGCGAUAUACCGGUCAGCGGCCCAGCGAUAACAUUAAGUAUUCCACCUGGGGAGUACGCCGGCAACCGGUGAAAUUCAAAGGAAUUGACGGGGGCCCGCACAAGCGGAGGAACAUGUGGUUUAAUUCGAUGAUACGCGAGGAACCUUACCCGGGCUUAAAUUGCAACUGACGGAAUCGGAAACGGUUCUUUCUUCGGACAGUUGUGAAGGUGCUGCAUGGUUGUCGUCAGCUCGUGCCGUGAGGUGUCGGCUUAAGUGCCAUAACGAGCGCAACCCUUACGGGUAGUUACCAUCAGGUUAUGCUGGGGACUCUACCCGGACUGCCGUCGUAAGAUGUGAGGAAGGUGGGGAUGACGUCAAAUCAGCACGGCCCUUACGUCCGGGGCUACACACGUGUUACAAUGGGGGGUACAGAAGGCAGCUACACGGCGACGUGGUGCUAAUCCCGAAAGCCUCUCUCAGUUCGGAUUGGAGUCUGCAACCCGACUCCAUGAAGCUGGAUUCGUUAGUAAUCGCGCAUCAGCCACGGCGCGGUGAAUACGUUCCCGGGCCUUGUACACACCGCCCGUCAAGCCAUGAAAGCCGGGGGUACCUGAAGUACGUAACCGCGAGGAGCGUCCUAGGGUAAAACUA
rnacentral:rRNA from 1 species